AAUACAUGCAAGUCGAACGAACUCUGGUAUUGAUUGGUGCUUGCAUCAUGAUUUACAUUUGAGUGAGUGGCGAACUGGUGAGUAACACGUGGGAAACCUGCCCAGAAGCGGGGGAUAACACCUGGAAACAGAUGCUAAUACCGCAUAACAACUUGGACCGCAUGGUCCGAGUUUGAAAGAUGGCUUCGGCUAUCACUUUUGGAUGGUCCCGCGGCGUAUUAGCUAGAUGGUGGGGUAACGGCUCACCAUGGCAAUGAUACGUAGCCGACCUGAGAGGGUAAUCGGCCACAUUGGGACUGAGACACGGCCCAAACUCCUACGGGAGGCAGCAGUAGGGAAUCUUCCACAAUGGACGAAAGUCUGAUGGAGCAACGCCGCGUGAGUGAAGAAGGGUUUCGGCUCGUAAAACUCUGUUGUUAAAGAAGAACAUAUCUGAGAGUAACUGUUCAGGUAUUGACGGUAUUUAACCAGAAAGCCACGGCUAACUACGUGCCAGCAGCCGCGGUAAUACGUAGGUGGCAAGCGUUGUCCGGAUUUAUUGGGCGUAAAGCGAGCGCAGGCGGUUUUUUAAGUCUGAUGUGAAAGCCUUCGGCUCAACCGAAGAAGUGCAUCGGAAACUGGGAAACUUGAGUGCAGAAGAGGACAGUGGAACUCCAUGUGUAGCGGUGAAAUGCGUAGAUAUAUGGAAGAACACCAGUGGCGAAGGCGGCUGUCUGGUCUGUAACUGACGCUGAGGCUCGAAAGUAUGGGUAGCAAACAGGAUUAGAUACCCUGGUAGUCCAUACCGUAAACGAUGAAUGCUAAGUGUUGGAGGGUUUCCGCCCUUCAGUGCUGCAGCUAACGCAUUAAGCAUUCCGCCUGGGGAGUACGGCCGCAAGGCUGAAACUCAAAGGAAUUGACGGGGGCCCGCACAAGCGGUGGAGCAUGUGGUUUAAUUCGAAGCUACGCGAAGAACCUUACCAGGUCUUGACAUACUAUGCAAAUCUAAGAGAUUAGACGUUCCCUUCGGGGACAUGGAUACAGGUGGUGCAUGGUUGUCGUCAGCUCGUGUCGUGAGAUGUUGGGUUAAGUCCCGCAACGAGCGCAACCCUUAUUAUCAGUUGCCAGCAUUAAGUUGGGCACUCUGGUGAGACUGCCGGUGACAAACCGGAGGAAGGUGGGGAUGACGUCAAAUCAUCAUGCCCCUUAUGACCUGGGCUACACACGUGCUACAAUGGAUGGUACAACGAGUUGCGAACUCGCGAGAGUAAGCUAAUCUCUUAAAGCCAUUCUCAGUUCGGAUUGUAGGCUGCAACUCGCCUACAUGAAGUCGGAAUCGCUAGUAAUCGCGGAUCAGCAUGCCGCGGUGAAUACGUUCCCGGGCCUUGUACACACCGCCCGUCACACCAUGAGA
rnacentral:rRNA from 2 species